rnacentral:piRNA from 1 species
UNGCCAUGAUGCUAAUACUGAAUGUUUUCC